rnacentral:sRNA from 1 species
UGGAUGCAGGAAGAACUAGGGAGAGGU